rnacentral:rRNA from 1 species
AACAGGAUUAGAUACCCUGGUAGUCCAUGCCGUAAACGAUGUCAACUAGUUGUUCGUGUCAUUAAGACGUGAGUAACGCAGCUAACGCACUAAGUUGACCGCCUGGGGAGUACGGCCGCAAGGUUAAAACUCAAAUGAAUUGACGGGGGCCCGCACAAGCGGUGGAGCAUGUGGUUUAAUUCGAUGCAACGCGAAGAACCUUACCAUCCCUUGACAUCCAGUGAAUUUUCCAGAGAUGGAUUAGUGCCUUCGGGAACACUGAGACAGGUGCUGCAUGGCUGUCGUCAGCUCGUGUUGUGAGAUGUUGGGUUAAGUCCCGCAACGAGCGCAACCCUUAUCCUUAGUUGCCAGCGCGUCAUGGCGGGAACUCUGGGGAGACUGCCGGUGAUAAACCGGAGGAAGGUGGGGACGACGUCAAGUCAUCAUGGCCCUUACGGGAUGGGCUACACACGUGCUACAAUGGCGCAUACAAAGGGCAGCAAGCCAGCGAUGGUUAGCGAAUCUCAUAAAGUGCGUCGUAGUCCGGAUCGGAGUCUGCAACUCGACUCCGUGAAGUCGGAAUCGCUAGUAAUCGUGGAUCAGAAUGCCACGGUGAAUACGUUCCCGGGCCUUGUACACACCGCCCGUCACACCAUGGGAGUGGGCUGCACCAGAAGUGAUUAGUUUAACCUUCGGGAGAACGAUCACCACGGUGUGGUUCAUGACUGGGGUGAAGUCGUAACAAGGUAACC